UGGCUCAGUGGUAGAGCGCUUGCCUUGAAUGCAUGAGGCCCUGGGUUUGAUUCCUCAG
rnacentral:tRNA from 1 species